AAGCUUAAAGAGUCGAAGCCCUCAAGCUCCACUUUUUUCUGUAGAGCCUAAUCCGAGGCGUCUCUGUAGCUCCCGCUUCGUCUCCAGGGGGGGGGAAUUGGGAUUCGUUCAAAACCCUAGCUUUGAUGGAGGUAGGAUGGUGUUGCAUUUACUUGAAUUCCUCUGUUUCAAAUUCUAGACUUUAGCAACUUCAAGCAGUUAAGUGAGGGGUUCAUUAUCUUUGUCGUUGGACUGACCGUUUGCUUACUGAUAUCUCUUACUUCAUUGCUGAUAUCUCUUCUCUACCUAUUCUCUGGUUGGUUUCCAGUUAGCUUGUUCUUUGGUCCCUAUGUAUUUGUCUUUCUUUGUCGGUCUCUUCAACACGACUGUCCGGUGAUUGUCCACACCAUGGGCAGAAUUUUUUUGUGUUGAAUCGAAGUCAUUCGAAUUUGUAUUAGAUUCGGGGAGUAAUUCUUUAUGUCUCAAGAUUAUCGAGCGGGGUUUAGGCUCUGUCCCUUCUAUUCGUUUGGGUCAUGAAGGCAUUUUCUGGCUUUUGUGGACGAUAGAGGAGGUGGCUUCAGCAAAUAGUAAGACUGUAAGGGCUUCUUUCGGAAAAUCAGAACCGCAUGCAACGUCAUCCUUUGUCAAAGAAGCUACAACGUUCAUGGGACUUAUUUGGCCAUCGAAGAAUUUAGUGGAGGAGGGAGGUGGGGGAUUAUUCUACUCCCUGAAGGCAGAGAGAAGUGGGGUUGGUGUGGCUUUGGGAAGGUGCUUCGUUUGGUGUUGGAACCAUACCUCACCGUGAAACAGCUUCCUCCGACAUUUCAUGAAGAUCCCUGCGUUGGCAAGCCAGCCUCUCAGACAGCUCCGGCUAUUAAACCACAUGCACUCCUGCUCUUGGUGCUGCGUCAAGCUCAGAUACAGCGUCUAUGACGGUUGGCAAGUUUUUCAGGACAAAACCAAUAGCGGCCAUGCAAACUCUUAGCACCGGAACACAGUUCCCUCCGACUUCUCAUGGUGAUCCCUGCAUUGGCAUGCCCUUCACUUAGUCUAUCUGGUGUGCUAAAACUCCUUUCAUUCCUACAACUCGUGGUGGAGGUAUUGGUUCUGGUGAGAUGUCCAGCUUGAAGGCAGUGUCAAUGGCAGAUGGCCAGAACAUCAGGACAAAACCAAAACCAUACGUGAGGACAAAACAACGUACACAUUCCGUUACGCUCAAGAAGGACGUGGCUUUCCGUUCAAAUUUUCCUUCUCACCCACGUCACACAUCUGCUGGAACCAGCAUUGGCAUAGAGACAAAAGAGGGAGACAAAGGGGGAGGUAGCAAAAAGGCUGGAGCAGUCCUAUAUCCCGCUUGGAAGAUCCUCAAGUCCCUCAAGGACAACUGUCGGCCUUUCUUGGGUAGCAAACUACGAAUCAUUGUGGAUGGGCAGGGUGUGAGACACGUGAGCUGGAAAACAUCAUGUGUAACCCAAAUUUGGAGAAAAAAGGUGCAGGGGAUUGAUAAGAUGGAUUCAGUGGUUUCUUGUGGAACAAACUUAGGCCUCUCUUAGGGCCAGUUGGACCUUUGGGUUCCCACAGUUCUAAGACAAGGUUCUUCUUCCUUGGGCCAGCCUUCUCUCCCUCCCUCCCUCCCUCCGAUCAGCCUCUUCCCCUGUUGGUGUUGCUCCCGCCACCACCACUCCUCCACAUUCCUGCCACCACAAUACUUCCAUCUAGGUAAGAAAUUUAAACUGAACGGAGGGAUGCAAAGUAUGGUUCUACUAGGGCCGGUUGGUGUUCUUUAGACCCCCAUGGGUCUCACGGAGUGGGGCUUUGGAAGAAUAUUAGGAAGGGGUAGAGUUUGCUUUUGUAGCCAUACAAGACUCAUUUUAGGAAAUGGAUCUAGGAUUCGUUUUUGGGACAAUGUGUGGUGUGGCGAGGUGCCCCUUAAGGUAGCUUUCCCAGUUUUGUAUGACAUAGCGCAUGACAAGGAUGCACUUGUUGCAGACCAUUUGGUUGUGGGGAGCGAGUCCUAUCAGUGGGAUGUUAGCUUCUUUCGAGCGGCCCACGACUGGGAGGUGGAUGUUUUGACCUCCUUUUUCUCUUUGCUGUACUCAACUAAAGUGGAUGGUGAUGGGGAAGAUCAGGUCUGGUGGUCUCCUUUUCACAAAGGGAAAUUUGAUGUUAGAUCUUUCUAUAAGGUUCUUUCUUGCAAAGAGGAUAUUCAUUUUCCCUGGAAAAGUAUAUGACGGACCAAGGUUCCUUUGAAAGUGGCUUUCUUCGCUUGGACGGUAGCGCAAGGGAAGAUCCUCACCUUGGACAAUCUCAGAAAGAAGCGUGUCAUUGUGAUUGAUAGAUUGAAUGGGGAGUUUGUGGAUCACCUUCUUCUCCAUUGCAAGGUUGCGUGCGUUCUAUGGAACGCCAUCUUUAGCCGCUUCAGUCUGUCUUGGGUUAUGCCUCUUCGGGUGGUAGAUUUAUUCGCUUGCUGGUAGAUGGGUGGUCACUCUCGAAGUGUUGUCGUGUGGAAGAUGGUCCCUUGUUGCCUUUUGUGGUGCUUGUGGAGGGAACGCAAUGAUAGACAGUUCGAGGACAAAGAAAGAACCAUUGAGGAACUUAUUUUCUUUUUCUUUCAUUUUUUGUACUCUUGGUCGUCUGCGUUCCUCGCACCUUUAGUGUUUAGUUUUAAUGAUUUUCUUGUUUUGUUUUCUUCUUGCUCUUAGAUGCCUUUCUAGUAUACUUCAUGUGUACUUGAUUGCGCUUUGCGCUUUUUAAUGAGAUUUCUCUUACUUAUCAAAAAAAAAUAUCUAUAUUUUUGAAUUAUAUAUUGUUGUGCAUGAUGACUAGCCAUAUAGUAAAAUGCAAGCAUGCAUGUUGUAUAAAUUUCACAUGUUAAUUAACUAAAAAUACUACUUGUGUUGGAUUUGCAUUUUAUAUGCAUGCAUAUUUGUAUGUAUGUGUAAUAUAGAUGAGAACUAUCUAGAUGUUAAGGGAAAAUAAUCAAGAGGAAAAAAAAUCUUUCAUGCAUUGUUUAAAACCUUAGCGUUUCAACUUAUAAUUGAGAAUGAAAGUUGAUAUAUACGUUGCAUUCUAAUUAUAUUGAGUUUUACGAUAUAGGGUUUGGGGUUUGGAGUUUAGGGUUUGUGGUUUGGUUUCAGGGUUUAGGCUUUGGAGUUUGGGGUUUAGGGUUUCUGGUUUGGUUUUAGGGAUUAGGAUUUAUGGUUUAGGGUAUAGGGUUUGGGGUUUUGGUGUUUGUGGCUUGUGAUUUGGGGUUUGGGGUUUGGGGUUUGGUGUGUGGUGUUUUGGGGUUUGUAGUUUUAGGGCUUGAGAUUUGGUUUUAGGGUUUAAGGUUUAUAGUUUAAUAGUAAUUUGUGGUUUAGGGUUUGGGUUUAGCUAGGGUUUGUGGUUUGAGCUUGGGGGUUUAGGGUUUAUAGUCCUUACGUGUAUAUCACAAUAGCAUACUUAUAAAAUAUCCUAGAGACAAGCAUCAACACAUGGUUGACGGCGGAAGAUCAGGCAAGGGCUAAAAAGAACAGACUAUGCUAAACAAGUCACAAGAUCAUUCACACAUUUGAUUCAAAGAGCUAUGCCAGAGUUGCGAAAGAGCUUAGAUAUUGAGUUCAAUGGAGGCGUAAUGGGAGGAAGAGGAGAGAAUCAUGAAUGAACGGAUGACAGCACAGGAUCAAAAGAUAGCGGAUUUGAAGAGGAUUAUCAAAAGUGUUGCCUCCAAUGCGGCAGCGAGCAACACUUUGGUUGCGCAAGACACUGAGUCACCCGGUGUCGUGAGUGUGAGAUCUUCAAAAACCAGUCAAUCAAGUUAGCUCCCAACAUGAUUAACUAAUUAACAAAGUGUGAUUUUGUUCAUUAUACGGUUGAAAAUGUUACGUAUAUCAUUACUAGUUUCCCAUAUGUAUAUGGUUGCGUAACACAUUUCAUUUAAAUCACUGAUAUAGGUGUCGCGCCCUUGUCCCAGGACAACAAUGAUCCGCAUGAGUGACUAUGUACGUAGGAUAUGAAGUUAUAUUGGCAGUUGUGACAUAUAGUAUUAGUUUUCUUUUGAAUGUAGGUAGAAUAUCGAAGUUUGUAAAUGAUGUAAACACUGGUUAUAUGGUUUUAUCGAUUGGACUUAAUCGAUUUGUGAUUGUAGGUAACCUAUGUAUUAUGUUUAGAAUUACUUUGAACAUUUUGGGGUUUGUAUUAUAUAUGUUUGGGGUUGAGUGACAUUA